CCCGCUGCUCUCCAGAGCCCAGGGAGGGAAGAGCCGAUGGUUUUGCCUGGAAAAGUCCAGUUUUCCCCGGGAUUCCGGGAGCCGCAUCCCUGGCACAGCCAGCCCGACGCCACAGCGGCCCUAAAGUGAAUGAGUAACCCCAAAACCCCGGCACGAACAGCGAGCGCUUCAAUCGUGCCGGGCACAGCAGAGGGAUCGUGUGAGACGAGCUGGGAGCUCCGGUCAGGAACGUUUUCCUUGUUCCUGCAGGAACACGAGAGGCACCAGCCCGAGGUUGAAACAAUUCCUCCCCCAGGAACCAGCCCUGGACACAAAAGCUUUUCAGUUAUCAUCAGCAUUUUGUAAGAUUAUAUUAAAAUAAACCUUCAGGCUCC